UCUAGUGGCAAUUUCAUUGUAAUACAUAAAAGGGUGUAAACAGAUUUUUAACAAGGUGUGAGCCUAACAGUCAAUUCUGGCAUGAGUCAAUUGGGCUGAUGUCAGUAGAAUCAGAGUUACAGUGGUAUUACUGAAAGAAAAAUUUCAUCCAAAUGAAUUUUUAAAUGCAUUGCCAAUAACCAUAAAAAAGAAUCAUAGAAUCAUUAAAGUUGGAAAAGACUUCAAGAUCAUCAAGUUCAACCUUUGACUGAACAACAGCUUAAACUGAACCAUACAUUAGAAUUGUCUUACGGUCUUAGAUGACAACUUUCAAUCAACCUCCCAUUAAAGUGACCUUCAGUGACCAUGGCACAGGCAUUCCAAAUCAUCAGUGCAAAAAGCAAGCACAGAAGUUUCUAUAUGAUGUUGCUUAUUUCAGGGUCUGAGAGACCCCGGUGAAUUGGUGCAUGAGAAAAGGGUACUCCCCUCCUCCUCUCACAGACUUAACCUGCAAUUACUGCAAUAAAAUACUGUAGGAGUCCCAGAAAUAUAAUUCUAAAAGAAAUUAAAAAUAAUAUGCAUAAAAAUCUGAACAGGAUAAGAACAGACAUUCUUUUUUAGAACAAGGACCAAGCCCAGAUCCAUGACAACGGGGGGCCAUGCAAGCAUCUUAUCUCUGAUGUUAAUGAUCAGUAAAAGAGACUUAAGGCAAGAAUUACAAAAGGAGAAGAGAAGAGAAGAGAAGAGAAGAGAAGAGAAGAGAAGAGAAGAGAAGAGAAGAGAAGAGAAGAGA